rnacentral:snoRNA from 1 species
AUCCCAUGGUGAGGACACUUCCUAAGAAUUUCCUUGAAUCGUUCCCAUGCUUCAUACAAGGACUCGCUCUCAAAUUGAGCAAAAGUGGUAAUAUCAUUAAUUAAUUU